AUGAACGCUAGCUACAGGCUUAACACAUGCAAGUCGAGGGGCAGCAUGGUCUUAGCUUGCUAAGGCCGAUGGCGACCGGCGCACGGGUGAGUAACACGUAUCCAACCUGCCGUCUACUCUUGGACAGCCUUCUGAAAGGAAGAUUAAUACAAGAUGGCAUCAUGAGUCCGCAUGUUCACAUGAUUAAAGGUAUUCCGGUAGACGAUGGGGAUGCGUUCCAUUAGAUAGUAGGCGGGGUAACGGCCCACCUAGUCUUCGAUGGAUAGGGGUUCUGAGAGGAAGGUCCCCCACAUUGGAACUGAGACACGGUCCAAACUCCUACGGGAGGCAGCAGUGAGGAAUAUUGGUCAAUGGGCGAGAGCCUGAACCAGCCAAGUAGCGUGAAGGAUGACUGCCCUAUGGGUUGUAAACUUCUUUUAUAAAGGAAUAAAGUCGGGUAUGGAUACCCGUUUGCAUGUACUUUAUGAAUAAGGAUCGGCUAACUCCGUGCCAGCAGCCGCGGUAAUACGGAGGAUCCGAGCGUUAUCCGGAUUUAUUGGGUUUAAAGGGAGCGUAGAUGGAUGUUUAAGUCAGUUGUGAAAGUUUGCGGCUCAACCGUAAAAUUGCAGUUGAUACUGGAUAUCUUGAGUGCAGUUGAGGCAGGCGGAAUUCGUGGUGUAGCGGUGAAAUGCUUAGAUAUCACGAAGAACUCCGAUUGCGAAGGCAGCCUGCUAAGCUGCAACUGACAUUGAGGCUCGAAAGUGUGGGUAUCAAACUGGAUUAGAUACCCUGGUAGUCCACACGGUAAACGAUGAAUACUCGCUGUUUGCGAUAUACUGCAAGCGGCCAAGCGAAAGCGUUAAGUAUUCCACCUGGGGAGUACGCCGGCAACGGUGAAACUCAAAGGAAUUGACGGGGGCCCGCACAAGCGGAGGAACAUGUGGUUUAAUUCGAUGAUACGCGAGGAACCUUACCCGGGCUUAAAUUGCAGAUGAAUUACGGUGAAAGCCGUAAGCCGCAAGGCAUCUGUGAAGGUGCUGCAUGGUUGUCGUCAGCUCGUGCCGUGAGGUGUCGGCUUAAGUGCCAUAACGAGCGCAACCCUUGUUGUCAGUUACUAACAGGUUCCGCUGAGGACUCUGACAAGACUGCCAUCGUAAGAUGUGAGGAAGGUGGGGAUGACGUCAAAUCAGCACGGCCCUUACGUCCGGGGCUACACACGUGUUACAAUGGGGGGUACAGAGGGCCGCUACCACGCGAGUGGAUGCCAAUCCCCAAAACCUCUCUCAGUUCGGACUGGAGUCUGCAACCCGACUCCACGAAGCUGGAUUCGCUAGUAAUCGCGCAUCAGCCACGGCGCGGUGAAUACGUUCCCGGGCCUUGUACACACCGCCCGUCAAGCCAUGGGAGCCGGGGGUACCUGAAGUGCGUAACCGCGAGGAGCGCCCUAGGGUAAAACUGGUGACUGGGGCU
rnacentral:rRNA from 1 species